rnacentral:tRNA from 1 species
GGAGAGGUGGCCGAGCGGCUGAAGGCGCUCCCCUGCUAAGGGAGUAUGGGUGUUAAAGCCCAUCGAGGGUUCGAAUCCCUCCCUCUCCGCCA